UCAACUACCCCUCACGACUUUCUAUUUAUAAAAUACAUUAAAUAGUGGUACUCUCAGAAGAGAAAGAGGUAACCAUUUGAAAUGAAAAAAGAAAGCAAGCAUACAUUCCUCAACUACUGAUCUAUCUGUUUAUGAGUAGAAUCUAUUGGAUGCCCGUUUACGAUGCUUAUAUCGAAAGUUUUGACCACGGCUCAGGAAACCAAAAGAAUAAGAAAUCCUCCCAUUCCUUGAUGAAAUAUCCAUUUAGACCAUUUAGGGUGGGCCUAUAUGACUCCAUAGGUAUAGCAUCAUAUGGUCUCCCCGCGGCUUUGGCAGCAGCUUGUCUUUGAGCAAUCAAGGACUUUGAAUGCAAGGCCUCCUUUUUCUGUUUAUAUCCCAGCCCAAACGACUUCUCAUAAUCAGGGAAUUUAGGGAAAGCAGGCAAGCCUUUCAGAUUCUUACCCAAGCCCAUUCCGGGGAAGAAGCCCAUGUUCCUCAUCAUGCCCCAUACAAAAACAUUGCUAUAGGAGUAUAAUUCCAUUGGACAAUACUCCCUCAUAGGUGGAGCAAAGGUAAUGCAUUGGACUUGGUCAUACUUUUUUUGGGAAGUGGUAAGCUUUAUUGAAAUAGCAAAAAUUACAUGAUUGAGCCAAGCUAACUCUGAUUCUUCUUUUUCCAAGUCAAUGAAAUUCUUGUUGUUGGGAGAGAAAUAUCUUAUGAUAAAUAUCAUCUAUAAUAAUAAGUGCUUGAAAGCCUGAGUAAACAAACAAGUAAAGAAGAAUGUGUGUGAAGGGGCCCGCCUCACCACUCCCCUUAUCACGGAAAAACAAAAGAUGACUCACCAUGACAAGGGCCCCCAAAACGGCUGCGUGAACGAAGUCCUGCCCAUUCACUGCGCUAAUUUCGGGUCCUCUCUAGCCAAAAGAAAACGGCAUUCAAGCCAAGCCCAUGGAGCAGCUUCACCUUCUCUCCUCCGCAGGCGUCCAUUCAAAAUCACAAAUAGGAAAAAGGCAACAAACGAAAAAUCCCAACUACGGAUAUAUAAG
rnacentral:misc_RNA from 1 species